rnacentral:lncRNA from 1 species
UGGAGAUGCUAGAAAAUUCAUGACUGCCGGAAAGCUUCCCGCUUCCAGAAGGGAAAGGACAGAUAACAAUCAGUUUCUGGCUGUUGGUCUCAGCUUUGGAUUUCAGAUGUCUAUUGCAUGGGUAAUUGGAGGAGAUGGAGACAAAGUAAAAAGCUGUCAGAACCGAGGAUGACUUGGGAAGACUUCUAUCAAAAGGGAAAACAAUGUUUUCAGGUAACUAUCAGUCUAUGAACAAGCUAAUCCUGGGUUCGUUCUACUUCAGCUGUUGAGUAUGUAUGUUGUGUAUGAUGCUUGAAAUAGUCUAAUUCAAACCUGCCAGAAAUGGUCACCAAAAUUGUAGAUAGUAUAUGGAGACAGGUUUUCUUUCUUUACAUCACACUUUUGAUUUCAUCAUUACCCUUUUGAUAUAACUGAUGGCUACAGCUGUGCAGAUACAACACACUUUUUAAAGAAAAUUCUAUUUUAUAACACCGAAUCCACAGCCACAGUUCACAGCAAAAGAUCGCAUUUCUUACAAAAAAUAAAAAUUAAAAAAAUCCCCA